rnacentral:rRNA from 1 species
UACAGAGGUGGCAAGCGUUGUUCGGAAUUACUGGGCGUAAAGGGCGCGUAGGCGGUCUUUUAAGUCUUGUGUGAAAUCCCUCGGCUCAACUGAGGAACUGCACGGGAUACUGGAAGACUUGAGUUCGGGAGAGGGAAGCGGAAUUCCGGGUGUAGCGGUGAAAUGCGUAGAUAUUCGCAAGAACACCAGUGGCGAAGGCGGCUCACUGGCCCGGUACUGACGCUGAGGCGCGAAAGCCAGGGGAGCAAACGGG